AUAUAAGGAAUUUCUCUUGGAACUGGCUUCUAACAACAUUUAUGCAUGCAAACAAAAGCAUUGUAAAUCAGGCUUUUCUAAAAGAGAGGUGCUCAAAGUCAGCAUGCUUGGUUACUGGUAUUCUUAGCAGGACCUUCUGUUCUCUUUCAUUCCCAGUCACUUUCUGACAGCUUAAUCUUUCUAAAUCUUGCUUUGGAUCGCUUGAGCUUCUAGGAAGUACUUUGGAUUACUGGAAUUACAGACUUCAUUCUAAAAUUUCUUUUUAUAAGCUCUUUUUAUGUAUUGCUAAUCAUAUUACAGAGAGUAAUAUUGAUGCCUUAUUUCAUCAUACCUUUUUAAAUCCGAGGGUUUACUGGUAUAUGCCUAUUAGAAAAAUUAUGUCAGUAUUACUGAAUUUUAUUCCCACACCACUGUGGUCUUGUUACCUUACUGACUAUGGAGAGUUUGGUAAUAUAACCAGAUAGAUUUUCAGGAUAUGCCCAGCUUUAUUCUACCUCAUUUUAAAGUUUUUGGAUUUUUUGGCUAUCUGGAACUUUCAAAUAGGUUUUUGUGAAUAUUUUUUAUGCAACAAAGUUACUGAGCAGCUUGUUCAGAUGUGUUCAAUACAUCAGGUGGAAUUUCAGAAGCUUAUUCUUCCCAUCAGUUCACAAACAUUUUAUAAAUAGUCCAGUGCCCUAUGGUUUAACAGAAAAUAUGUCCAUUGUGCAGAACCAUAUUUUCAGACUAUAUACACAAAUGGAAAGAUGGGCCACUUCAU
rnacentral:lncRNA from 1 species